UUAUCUUGGCAGAUUAGUGCUUUAAAUUUAGAAUUUAAAUAUGUAUUAUUUAUAUACAGGUAACAA
rnacentral:tRNA from 1 species